GGGCAGAACCCCGUCACGUGCCCCUUGUGCGGCCUUGUGGUGGUGGCUUUGGUGCCCUGCAGAAACUCCAAGCGUGACAGCAGGCACAGCAGGCAGGGACGUGCACCACGUCCUUGAGGAAGAUGAGGCAUUUCUGCAGCUUGAGUCCCUCGAGAGGUGCAGUGGUAGAAUGGUGACAGCGGUGCCCUGCAGGCAGCAGUUGCAGGGCUGCAGGAGGUGCUCACACAGUGCCAGCAGGCGGGCUGAGCCCUGCUCCAUCAGCCUCAGGUUGCUGCACUGGAGGCGCAGGGACCCCAUCACAGCACCGCUGGGUUCGGAGUGUCCACCAGAGAGAAGCUGGAUGGUCCUGUGCCACAGGAAUGUGGUAUGAGGGUAUUUCAUGAGGUUGCCAUCAGGGCUAGGAAUGUUGUCAUGUUGUGCUGACAUGUCAGACAGUGCCUCUUCCUCUUUGACAGCAGGAUCUGCACCUUUGGCUGCCCCAGGAGAGACUCAGGAGUGCUGGACUGGGAGGGAUCGCUGCAUCACGGUCCAAAGCUCAGCCACACCUUGCAGUCUCCUUCAGCAAACCCUGAGAUGCUCAUUUGAACCUGGACAAUUUUUUUGUCCCACUGCUCGUAUCAGAAGACUGCUCUGCAGUGUCACUGCUCUGACGUUUGGAAAUGUUCUCCUGAUUUGCAGCCUAACUUUAUUCAUGGCCAGAUUGUAUUCAUGGCACUCGUGCCUAGGCUGUCUGCUAGCUCUUUUCCUUCUUGUAUUUAAGCUGAUGUUAUCUGCUUUUGCUUACCAAUUUGCCCGCUGGCUGGAAUUAUGCAUGGAAAAGAAGUUUCCCAUGCCCUCCAUGUGGUUGUUUUAACCUCUCUAAAGGAGCUAAAUAAUUAUUCUUCAUCUAAGGGUGAUUGAGAGCAGGGCUCAUGGUAUAACAGCACCAUUUAUUU
rnacentral:lncRNA from 1 species